rnacentral:rRNA from 1 species
CCUACGGGUGGCAGCAGUGGGGAAUAUUGCACAAUGGGGGAAACCCUGAUGCAGCGACGCCGCGUGAGCGAAGAAGUAUUUCGGGAUGUAAAGCUCUAUCAGCAGGGAAGAAAAUGACGGUACCUGAGUAAGAAGCUCCGGCUAAAUACGUGCCAGCAGCCGCGGUAAUACGGAUGGAGCAAGCGUUAUCCGGAUUUACUGGGUGUAAAGGGAGCGAAGGCGGCCUAGCAAGUCUGAUGUGAAAUGCCGGGGCUCAACCCCGGAGCUGCAUUGGAAACUGUGAGGCUGGCGUGUCGGAGAGGCAGGCGGAAUUCCUCGUGUAGCGGUUAAAUGCGUAGAUAUUAGGAGGAACACCAGUGGCGAAGGCGGCCUGCUGGACGAUGACUGACGCUGAGGCUCGAACGCGUGGGGAGCAAACAGGAUUAGCUACCCGGGUAGUC